rnacentral:tRNA from 1 species
AAGGAAUUAGUUUAAACUAAAACAUUGACUUGUCAAGCCAAAAAUAUUUAAUAAAUAUUCCUUA